rnacentral:rRNA from 1 species
GACGAACGCUGGCGGCGUGCUUAACACAUGCAAGUCGAACGAUGGGCGAACGGGUGAGUAACGCGUAAUCAACCUGCCCUUCCGAGGGGGACAACAGUUGGAAACGACUGCUAAUACCGCACACUGACGGAGGGGAUCGCGUCGGAUUAGCUAGUUGGCGGGGUAACGGCCCACCAAGGCGAAGAUUAGUAGCCGGUCUGAGAGGAUGAACGGCCACAUUGGGACUGAGAAACGGCCCAGACUCCUACGGGAGGCAGCAGUAGGGAAUCUUCCGCAAUGGACGAAAGGCUGACGGAGCAACGCCGCGUGAGUGAUGACGGCCUUCGGGUUGUAAAGCUCUGUUAAUCGGGACGCGGUACCGGAAUAGAAAGCCACGGCUAACUACGUGCCAGCAGCCGCGGUAAUAC